CGCGUAGGCGGGAGAUUAAGUUGUGUGUGAAAUACCUGGGCUUAACCUGGGUUCUGCAUGCAAAACUGAUCUACUAGAGUAGAGUAGAGGGAAGCGGAAUUUCCGGAGUAGCGGUGAAAUGCGUAGAUACCGGAAGGAACACCAGUGGCGAAGGCGGCUUUCUGGACUCCAACUGACGCUGAGGCGCGAAAGCAUGGGUAGCGAACA
rnacentral:rRNA from 1 species